rnacentral:tRNA from 1 species
GGAGAAGUACUCAAGUGGCUGAAGAGGCUCCCCUGCUAAGGGAGUAGACCCUUCACGGGGUGCGGGGGUUCAAAUCCCCCCUUCUCCGCCA